CUCUGUGCCUCAGGUCCCUGUCUGUGAAAAGAAGAUAAAUUGACUUCCCUGCUUCACAGUAAUAUUGGAAGAAAAUUCAUCUGAGACUGUGAGGUACUAUUGUGAAGUUUGUGAAAAGUGACUUCCAAGAAAAUCCAUUUGAAGAGGGAUCCACAGUGAACACUUAACAGCAUGAGGACAUCUUUCUACUUUGUUCAGUAGGCACAUCUUCAUUCAGCAGCAGGCCUGUGAUGAUGUUAAACAGGAUUGAACACAACACUGACCCCUGGAUACACCACUACCUGGCCUCCUGCUAGUCUUUGUGCCACCACUCUCUGGACCCAGAUAUUCAGGGUUGCCCUACUUCAAAAAUUUUUUUACUGGACACAAUCAGAGAUCUAAGGCCUGCAGAAGAAAAGAAAACUGGAUGAAAUGGAAGUAGAAACGACUUUGUCAAGUCACACAGAUAAAGGAGUGAGAAUUUUCAUUCUACCAUCUCUGACUUCUCUAAAUCCUUCCUGAGGUGAAAGAAGAAAAUAAUUAGCUGAAGGUAUUAGCAUGAAGAAAGAAGGAGUGAGAACAAAGGAGACAUAUUAGAAGUCAUCUUCUUCAGCAGCCUGCAGAUAAGAAAAAUAUGUUCUUCUGCUGAAACCUUCCUAGAUCACUAUAAUAAACUAAUUAAUCUCAGAUGGGUAAGAAAAAGCAUUAAAGUUACUUUGAGCUUGGUAAUAAUUACCUGCUGAAUGCAGUGGUCACAAAUUUUUCCCAUCUGCAGGGCUGUCUCCCAUCUCCUCAAUCUCACCACAAGAAAAUUGUGAUUUAUUAGUAGAGGUUGACGGGAGUAGGGCAUUACUCAUUGUAGGGCUUUUCGUUUUUUACUUUCCUAGAUGUGAAAUCAAGAAGGACUCAUUGUUUGGAACAGUAAAUAUAUGAACACAGGGACGAACAUCUGCAAAUCCUGCUGAAGGAAGCAUUUAUGUCUAGCCUACUGAGAAAUCUAAGGGAACAGAAAAAGGGGUAAUGGGAGACACUGAAAGAAGGAAGAUAAUGAGAGUGUUGUGGAAAGAGAAAAUUGAGAAUCUAGAGAAAAUAUUUUAACAUGAAAGAGAAGCAGACUUGGAAGCUCAUGAAGAGGACAGAAGUCUGUUGGGGACUGCCUAGGACAGAGACAAAGAAAAGCAGCGGGCCCACCUUCUUUCUUCUGGUUUUGCAGGAAAGCAAGCAUGAUUAGUACAAGCUUACCAAAGGAAAGGAGGGACUAUUUCCUUUACAUCAUUAGAUAUUAAAAAAAAAAUCAGACUAACAGAAUGGAAGAGCACUAGUGUCUGACAGAGGUAGAAUGGCUCUUACCAUCAUUAACCUGGUACCUAUAUGAGUUUUUGCUGCCAGGAUCAGCCAAAAGAGAUACAGGAAGGGACAGAGGAAGAAAGGGAGGGCUCAGAGAGUUAUGCCAAUUGGGAAAGAGGAAAGACUGAGAAGUCCAAACAAAUUAUUUUGUCUAUUGUGAAUGCUUCACCUUGUUUAAAUAUGAACCUAAUUGUUCAGUGUUUCAACUAAAAUGCUAGUGCUGCACAGAAUUAUGAGAGCACAUUGAUGAUUAGGAAACGUGUACCUGACAGCUGUAGAGAAAUAUUAAUUAAAAGUGAGGCAGAAGAGCACUACACAAAGGUAUUCUACUGCAUUAGAAGCACACCCAGUGAAUUAACAGAACAGUUAUCACAUAUAAACUGUGCAGGUAACACAAAGGGUGUUCACAUCAUAAACAGUGGUACGGACAAAGUACAAAGGACAGGGCAAUAUUCCUACAGUGAUAAACAAGGUUCAAUCAAACGGAAUGCAGUUUUUUCAGCUACUGACAAAACUACACAUAGAGAAUGUGAAAUGCUGAAUAUGUACUGAAAAAAAUGUGAAAAACAUAUGCUUUAAACACAUCUUUAAAUGGUUUUGAAAGAAGAAAUAUAACUGGGAUCACAAAGCAACAACAGCAAAGUGAUUUUCACUUCUCCUUAAGUAAUGAAAAGAUCAACACAAGCAUAAUGAGUAGCAAUAGGGGUUCAUGCUACACAAAAACAUUACUGAGAAAUCACAAUGGGUGCAGAAAAGUAGUCAAAGGCUAAAGAAAAUGCCAUCCUGAGGGAGAUAGAAAGAAUUCAAUCACUACAGUUUAUGCAAAAGAAAGUUAAUGACAAUUAAUGUGAGUGGCUUCACGAUGUCCUACAGAGAAAAUCUCUGUCAAGGCACUUGGUGAGCUAUAAAAGAAAGAAAGGCAAAACCUAAUGUCUGGAAGCUAAAACCAGACAAAUCCAAUAUGCAAACACACAGACUUUUAAUACUGAUUAAUGAGUGGAAAAACAAUUAUCAGAGGAAGUGAUAGAUUUCCUAUUUCUGUCUUGAUUGUUUCCCAUUAAAACUGGCUUUCUGGAAGUUAAACAGUAGCCAAACUAGUGAAUGGGCACAGGA